CAAACCGGUGACAAAGAUCACCGCAUAAAUCACAGUGAUCGGCAGAACGAUAUAUAAUGGAUCUCUUCUGAUGGAUGAAUCUUCUUGUUGAAGAAAUUCGAUUAUUGGAUUUGUGUAAUUAUCCAAAAUAUAAUCAUUAGGUCUGUAAACUGGCCAAGCCACGUGUUGAAGUGAGAUCAUCUUCUUAAGAUAUUUCCGAGCGAUGGGCUUCAUCAAACAAAUUUUAGAAUUGAAUUCUCAAUUAAAUAAUGAAAUAAAUUCAAGUAUUUUGAAUUUCUUAAUUUUUUAAAAAUAAUUUUUCCAUGAAUAUUAUUUUAAUUUUUUAAACAAAUUUUUAUAUUUUUUUAUUGUAUUUAUUACAAAAUAAAUAUUGUAAAUAUUUA